rnacentral:rRNA from 1 species
GACGAACGCUGGCGGCGUGCCUAACACAUGCAAGUCGAGCGAUGAAAUCCUUCGGGAUGGAUUAGCGGCGGACGGGUGAGUAACACGUGGGUAACCUGCCUCAAAGAGGGGAAUAGCCUUCCGAAAGGAAGAUUAAUACCGCAUAAUAUGUUUUGGUUGCAUGACUGAGACAUCAAAGGAGUCUUCUUCGUUAGAAGAAGCUUCCGCUUUGAGAUGGACCCGCGGCGCAUUAGCUAGUUGGUGAGGUAACGGCUCACCAAGGCGACGAUGCGUAGCCGACCUGAGAGGGUGAUCGGCCACAUUGGAACUGAGACACGGUCCAGACUCCUACGGGAGGCUG